rnacentral:rRNA from 1 species
AUUGAACGCUGGCGGCAUGCUUUACACAUGCAAGUCGAACGGUAACAGGCCGCAAGGUGCUGACGAGUGGCGAACGGGUGAGUAAUGCAUCGGAACGUGCCCAGUCGUGGGGGAUAACUACUCGAAAGAGUAGCUAAUACCGCAUACGAUCUAUCGAUGAAAGCGGGGGACCGUAAGGCCUCGCGCGAUUGGAGCGGCCGAUGUCAGAUUAGGUAGUUGGUGGGGUAAAGGCUCACCAAGCCAACGAUCUGUAGCUGGUCUGAGAGGACGACCAGCCACACUGGGACUGAGACACGGCCCAGACUCCUACGGGAGGCAGCAGUGGGGAAUUUUGGACAAUGGGCGCAAGCCUGAUCCAGCAAUGCCGCGUGCAGGAAGAAGGCCUUCGGGUUGUAAACUGCUUUUGUACGGAACGAAACGGCUCUGGUUAAUACCCGGGGCUAAUGACGGUACCGUAAGAAUAAGCACCGGCUAACUACGUG